rnacentral:lncRNA from 1 species
UGCGGGACGGGGCGCGGGGCUGCCGCCGGCGGGGGCGGGGGACGUCUGCUUCCCGCUUGGCCCCUCCGAGAGGGGGGGAGGAAAAAGAAAAAAAGAAAACUGGAGAAUUUAAAAAAGAAAAGGGGCUGAAAGCGCAGCCCCUGUUUGCGGGCACCCCAGGCUGAGGGUUAUUCUCGGGGUGCGAGAGCUUCCCCGCUUUUCUUUUUGCUGUGGGAGAGGGUCUACGUUUGCUUUGGGUCUUUUUCUUUCUUUUUUCGCCUGGAAAUGGGGAAUUGCACGGCGAUCCGCGGGAGCGCAGAAAGAGAAAGGGAGGGGAGGAGGAGGGAAAGGGAGAGAAGGUUGCACGGGGAGCUGCAGCCUACAGGUUGCAGGGGUUGGGGAGUGGGAUGGGACCGCACACACACACAAGCACACGCACCCAAAGGGAUGGGAGGAGGCAGGUUGGGAAGGGAGCAAAGUUCCUUGAAACCCAGCGUCCUGCUCUUAUGGCAUCAAAGCAGUCAAGAGGGGGGGGGGGGGGGAGAAAAGAAAAGCGCAGGAGAAGGAAGAGGGGAUGCAAAGCUCCCCUUCCCUCCCCCUUCUUCUGCAGGAGGAGAAGAAGUCUCUCCCGACGCAGCGAGCUGCUGGGAAGCGUGAUCAGUCAGCUAUGCGGCUGCAUUGCACGGAUUUUGCCACUAGAAUGCACCCUUAUCUAUGGUAAGAGGACGGAGAGCUGCUUAAAAAGCAUUAACUCUUUCUUCACCAAAAUUUCCCUGCUGAAGUAUUUUCUGCACAUUUCAGGUGUUCCUUGUUUUACUGCCUUCCUACCCCAUGUGGGCUUCGUAGUAAAGAUAGGCUCCCUUCUGUCCUUUUUUCAACCCCUCUUUUCAAAAAGGAAAGGCACAUUUCUGAGCUUUCCCCCUUUUCUUUGAAUCAGCAGGUUUUCCAGAGGUUUUAUUAGAUAAUACCCGAAUCUUUGCUUAGAUCGUAGCUAACCACUGCAAAAUAGGCACCCCUAAGGUAAGAAAAGCAACCCCCUGGGAUUUUAUCUAGAAGCAUUUUUUAAUGUUUUUUCUGGUUGAUACUUAGGACUUUUGCAGCAUUUUAUUAUUUAUUAAUUGCAUCCUGCUGCUGAGUUUUGUGGGGAUCUGCUACUGGUCUGACUGGGUGCCUUGCAAAAUGUAACACUGGGCAGAGAGAACACUCCUCAUCUGGAAAUCUGGAAGCACUUUGCAAAAGGGCUUAGGACAGGGGAGAACUGGCUUUCUUUCUUCUCUCCUCUACCCUGUAAGAAAGAGUACAUCCCAAAUAAUAUCUAGUAUGGAGAAAGCGUGAGUAUUGGGAGGGAUAGUGGAGAGGUUUCAUUCCCACUGCAACCUGCGGGAUGCAGAGUGGUGAGGCAUGUAUGGAGCUGCUUCUAUCCAGCCCAGCUGCAAGCCCUGGCAUAGGAGGCUUGGGCAUGGCUGGAUGGCUGUGGGGCAAGGAUCCUGCAAGGCAGCCCUGGGGAAGCUGCCCUAAUUUUAGUUUGUCCGGGAGCUUUCUCCUGGGCCUUCCAGGUGGUGUGAGGUUGUCUUGAGGGCAUCUUGGCUUCACUGAGCUGCAAGGCUGCGUUGGGACUUUCAUCCAUGAAAGCACACCUGGAAGUGUUGUCUGAUUCUCAAACCAGAAGAUGGCAAAGUUUUAGUCAUGAGAUGUGCCCUGAUGGCAGGUUUUCUGCCAGAUUAUGAAAGUGGACUCAACCACAAGGAUCCUACCACUGAGCCCAGCAAUCAGGAUAAAGCUGCAGAUGAACACUUGGUACAUGCUGUCUGCACUCCUCCCUUUUUGGCAUUUUUUUGCUUUUUAGCAUUUUUGCUGGUGAUCCAAAAAAAAACCAACAAAAAAAACAAAAACAAAAAAACCCAACCAUGACGUGCUUUCUUAUUUGGGGGG